CUGUCAACCUUCAAGAUUGAGGUCAUCUGUUUAUCCACAGAUGUGGUGUGACACUGGGAGUGGCACGGCAAGUGCCUCCCACACUGCCCCCUACCAAUGUGCUAACCUUGUCCUGGAGAGACCACCUCUAGGGGCAGGCAAUGGGGGCAGUCUCCCUGGCUCAGCCAGUCCUGGGCUUCU
rnacentral:sRNA from 1 species